NNNNAAUGUAUGCGAGUUGGCGGGUUGAAAACCCGUAAGCGCAAGUAACCUGACUGGUGGGAUGGCCUGUGCCUGCACCAUCGACCGACCAUGUUGCUUUUGCGAAAGGUUUGAGUGCGAGCAUACCUGUUGGGACCCGAAAGAUGGUGAACUAUGCCUGAGCAGGGUGAAGCCAGAGUAACCUCUGGUGGAGGCUCGUAGAUGUGCUGACGUGCAAAUCGCUUUUCAGACUUGGGUAUAGGGGCGAAAGACUAAUCGAACCAUCUAGUAGCUGGUUCCCUCCGAAGUUUCCCCCAGGAUAGCUGGAGCUUGAUCAGUUUUAUCGGGUAAAGCGAAUGAUUAGAGGUUCGGGGGAUGAAACAUCCUUCACCUAUUCUCAAACUUUAAAUAGGUAAGACGUGUCGGUUGCUUAACUGAACCGUCACAUUCAAUGUGAGCUCCAAGUGGGCCAUUUUUGGUAAGCAGAACUGGCGAUGCGGGAUGAACCGAUAGUCGAGUUAAGGUGCCAAACUGCGCGCUAACCUAGAUCCCACAAAGGGUGUUGAUUGAUAUAAACAGCAGGACGGUGGUCAUGGAAGUCGAAAUCCGCUAAGGAGUGUGUAACAACUCACCUGCCGAAUCAAUUAGCCCCGAAAAUGGAUGGCGCUUAAGCGCGCGACCUAUACUCGGCCAUGGAUGCAAGUGCGACGCGUCCAUGAGUGGGUGGGCGUGUCUCAAAGAUUAAGCCAUGCAUGUCUAAGUAUAAACUGCUUAUACUGUGAAACUGCGAA
rnacentral:ncRNA from 1 species